UCUUAGCUAGGUUAAAUAAACCCCCAGUUUGUGAUACUGGAAAUAUGCUUGCAUGCUGAGAA
rnacentral:tRNA from 1 species